AGCGAACGCUGGCGGCAGGCUUAACACAUGCAAGUCGAGCGGGCCCUUCGGGGUCAGCGGCGGACGGGUGAGUAACGCGUGGGAACGUGCCUUCUGGUCUGGAAUAACCCUGGGAAACUAGGGCUAAUACCGGAUACGCCCUUUUGGGGAAGGUUUACUGCCGGAAGAUCGGCCCGCGUCUGAUUAGCUAGUUGGUGGGGUAACGGCCUACCAAGGCGACGAUCAGUAGCUGGUCUGAGAGGAUGAUCAGCCACACUGGGACUGAGACACGGCCCAGACUCCUACGGGAGGUAGCAGUGGGGAAUAUUGGACAAUGGGCGCAAGCCUGAUCCAGCCAUGCCGCGUGAGUGAUGAAGGCCUUAGGGUUGUAAAGCUCUUUUAUCCGGGACGAUAAUGACGGUACCGGAGGAAUAAGCCCCGGCUAACUUCGUG
rnacentral:rRNA from 1 species